UACAGAGACUGCAAGCGUUAUUCGGAUUCACUGGGCGUAAAGGGUGCGCAGGCGGCCGAGUGUGUGAGGCGUGAAAGCCCGGGGCUUAACCCCGGAAUUGCACCUCAAACUACACGGCUAGAGCAUUGGAGAGGGUAGCAGAAUUCAUGGUGUAGCAGUGAAAUGCGUAGAUAUCAUGAGGAACACCAGUGGCGAAGGCGGUUGCCUGGAGCUUUGCUGACGCUGAUGCGCGAAAGCGUGGGGAGCGAUCCGG
rnacentral:rRNA from 1 species